CACCGAGCCAGGCUAGGACAGGUUGAGACUUCAUCAGCUUAAUUGUUCAUGCAAUGCCAGGUUCACUAGGCAGAAGCAGAGGAUUCUGCAGGUUAGCAUAAAAGGGACGUGUAACAGAGAGAGACACGACACAGGCCAUGUCAUAAUCAGGGUAGGUCCGGCAUUAAACGAAAGAUUAGGGCACUGUUUAUCUUUGCACUCAAUGAAUGAGAACAGGGCAAGAAAAAAAAGUUGGGAGCUGAUUUCGUUUGCACUGAAUGUGAUCGGGGGACCAACACAGUUGCCGACAGCAACCGUCGGAGAGGUCCAUGAGGUCGGCGACCUGCUCCGCCGCCGCCUCGUCGAACAGCCACUUCUCGAUCGAUGACAGCGGCGGCGCUGCCUGGUUCAUCAGCUGCUGCUUGCUCUCGUCGCCGUAGCCGCCGCCAUAGCCGCCGUACUCCAUGAACGACGCCGGCUGCUGCUGCUGGUGCUGCUGAUGAACGUCGAAGCAGCAGUCCAGGUCGGCGCCGGACAUGCAGUCGAAGGACGACAGCAAGGGGUUGCCGCCGACAUCGACGGCGGGCUUGACGUCGUCGUAAUAGCCGCUGUCAUAGUGCUGCAGCGGUGGCGGCGGCGGCGACGGGGAGUUGGUCUUCAUGAAGCCGUCGAGCAGCUUGGAGAUGUUGUCCAUGCUGGAGGCGUAUGAGGAGGAUGGGCAGUCGGCGAAGGGGGAGCGCCUAGCAAUGGCUGCCAUCUGGGUGACAUCGGAGUUGCUGCUCACCGUGUAGCUACCGCCGGCGGCGGAGGGGAAGGUGGCGUCGGCGAAGAUGGGGUGGCGGUUGGAGGAUGAAGUGGAGUUGGCGGCGGCGGCGAGCUUCUUCUUGAGGUGGGUGUUCCAGUAGUUCUUGAUGUCGUUGUCGGUGCGCUGGGGGAGGUAGGAGGCGAUGGCGGCCCAGCGGUUGCCGAGAAGCGACUGGAGGUGGACGAUGAUCCCCUCCUCGUGCGCCGUGAAGUUGCCGCGCUUUAUCCCCGGCCGCAGGUAGUUCGUCCACCGCAGCCUGCAGCUCUUGCUGCACCUCAUCAGCCCUGCAUCCAUCCAUCCACCCACAGCUUCAGCUUCUUCUCAGUUCAUCAUCGAUCACCAUGGCUACUUGGCUAGCUAUAGUUCAUCUACAAAAGAAAGUAAGAAACUACACAGAAUUGGGGAAUUAGGACGUACCAGUGUUGAUGGGAACCGAUCUCCAGUUGCCGGGGCCGUGUUCUUGGAUGUAGGAGACGAGGAUGAUGUCCUCCUCGGGCGUCCAUGGCCCCUUCUUGAUCCCCUCCUUGUCGCAGCACGGCGGCCGGCCCAUGGCUACAAUUCCUCACUCACUAAUUAACUCUGAUCCUUCCCGGAUCGAUCGAUCGAGCUAACUACUCUUUCUGGAAGCUGCAGCUAGCUGAUCGAUCGAUCGGUCGUCUCUCUCUGUGCUACCUGAGCUUCCGACAGUGUGCUUGAGUGUAGAGAUAUAUAUAGCUAGGAGACUGGGGACUUUGGGAGUGAGUGAGCUCCUUUUCACUUGCUAUCUCUGAUGUAAGCCACUUUCUGAUCGAUCGAUGAGAUGAUUUACUUUCACUUUCUAGCAAGUCAGUUGAUCUGGUUAUCGAUCGAUCGAUCGAUCUGUCUGUAUGUAGGAUGCUUUCUCUUUCUGUC
rnacentral:sRNA from 1 species